AUUGUGUCUGUCUCUGCCAGUCUUCACUCAGACCCCGAUCCUUCGGCUCUGCAGCACGUUCAGGCCAGCUGUGACGAGGUUCAGCGACCAGUUCGCCCGGGCAGAGGAGUACCAUGAUUUCCAGACCAAGCCUCCCAAGUCCUGCCUUAAGGCUCCGGCCUCCUCGCCUCGCUUCUGCCCACCAACAACAAGGAUGAGAGCACCUCCAGCAACACCUCAUGUGUGUUGAAAUGAACUGACACCAGGGGACCAGAGCAUCUGAUGCUUUUCGCAAUAAAGGAUAGGGGUACUGCAACAACCUUAACAGCUUUGAUAUCCUUCCCACAUUAUGGUUUAAACAAGCCAAGAACAGCAAAGCCAUGACUGAAAUAACCAAAGGCCAUCUGACUUCAUCACAAGCCAGGCUGGAUUAACUAUCGGGGGGUCAGAGACGGACCAGAACAGCAACAGAAACCCCAAGGCAAGACUGGCAUAUGCAAAAGAGAGGACGGAGCCAGUGAACCAUAAACCCCCUGCUAGGCUUGAAUGUUACAUAAACUCUGAAAUGCAGAUUCACACACAUGAACACCACCCUGACUACUUAGAAAGGAAUUCAUUUUUCCGAAGUGGCUCCUGUCCCCUCACAUGUUUUGUGUAUGUACUUGUAAGGAACUGUGGUUAAGUCAUCCAUGAAUCAUAAACAUAAGCCAGGGAGUCACAAGAGACAGAUUACAUAAUUGAGUACAAUCAUGACUUUGAUGAGUUUUGUUGGGCACAUUAGUCAUUCACCUGGUCAUAAAUCCAGUUUUACAUGAAACGGCUAAUGACCUUCAGGGAAUAACUAUCACUCUCGAUCUACUUCUCAAUUCAACAGCAAUUUGUCAUGUAGUAACAUGAUUUGGAUGAGAGUCGUCAUUCAUCCUUUUGAUUAGUUUGACCUUGACUGACAAUGUAGCAGUACUUUUCCACACAUUCAUUAUGCUUCUUGUUUUUGUUACUGCGCCCUCUUCCUGGAACAGAUGAUCAUCACAUCUUGUAAACUUACCAAGCUGCUGUGACAGUAAACACAACAAAAUGCC